GGCGACGUAGCCAAGUGGUAAGGCAGGGGUCUGCAAAACCCUCACCGCGGGUUCGAUUCCCGCCGUCGCCU
rnacentral:tRNA from 1 species